GAUGAACGCUGGCGGCGUGCCUAAUACAUGCAAGUCGAGCGAACAGACGAGGAGCUUGCUCCUCUGACGUUAGCGGCGGACGGGUGAGUAACACGUGGAUAACCUACCUAUAAGACUGGGAUAACUUCGGGAAACCGGAGCUAAUACCGGAUAAUAUAUUGAACCGCAUGGUUCAAUAGUGAAAGACGGUUUUGCUGUCACUUAUAGAUGGAUCCGCGCCGCAUUAGCUAGUUGGUAAGGUAACGGCUUACCAAGGCAACGAUGCGUAGCCGACCUGAGAGGGUGAUCAGCCACACUGGAACUGAGACACGGUCCAGACUCCUACGGGAGGCAGCAGUAGGGAAUCUUCCGCAAUGGGCGAAAGCCUGACGGAGCAACGCCGCGUGAGUGAUGAAGGUCUUCGGAUCGUAAAACGCUGUUAUUAGGGAAGAACAAAUGUGUAAGUAACUAUGCACGUCUUGACGGUACCUAAACAGAAAGCCACGGCUAACUACGUG
rnacentral:rRNA from 1 species